AGAGUUUGAUCCUGGCUCAGAACUAACGCUGGCGGCGUGGCUUAGGCAUGCAAGUCGAACGAUCUUCGCAAGAAGAUAGUGGCGCAAGGGUGAGUAACGCAUGGGUAAUUUGUCCUUAAAACUGGGAUAACUACGCGAAAGCGUAGCUAAUACCGGAUGAAAUUAUAAUAACAUAUGUUGUUAUAAUCAAAGAUGGCCUCUGUUUACAAGCUAUCGUUUUUGGAGAAGCCUGUGUUCUAUCAGCUUGUUGGUGAGGUAAUGGCUCACCAAGGCAAUGACGGAUAGCCGGCCUGAGAGGAUGUACGGCCACACUGGGACUGAGACACUGCCCAGACUCCUACGGGAGGCUGCAGUCGAGAAUUUUUUGCAAUGGGCGAAAGCCUGACAAAGCAACGCCGCGUGAGUGAUGAAAGUUUUCGGAUUGUAAAACUCUGUCAUCUGGGACGAAAUGUUUGAUAUUAAUAAUAUCAAACUUUGACGGUACCAGAAGAGGAAGCCCCGGCUAACUCCGUGCCAGCAGCCGCGGUAAUACGGAGGGGGCAAGCGUUGUUCGGAUUUACUGGGCGUAAAGGGUGCGUAGGUGGUUAUGUAAGUCGGAUGUGAAAACCCUUGGCUUAACCAAGGACCUGCAUUCGAAACUCCAUAGCUUGAGUACGGAGGGAGAGAGUGGAAUUCUCAGUGUAGCGGUGAAAUGCGUAGAUAUUGAGAAGAACACCAGUGGCGUAGGCGGCUCUCUACUCUGAUACUGACACUGAGGCACGAAAGUUAGGGGAGCGAACGGGAUUAGAUACCCCGGUAGUCCUAACCGUAAACGAUGUGCACUAGGUGUAGGUGGUAUCGACCCCACCUGUGCCGUAGCUAACGCAUUAAGUGCACCGCCUGGGGAGUACGACCGCAAGGUUAAAACUCAAAGGAAUUGACGGGGGCCCGCACAAGCGGUGGAGCAUGUGGUUUAAUACGACGCAACGCGUAGAACCUUACCAGGGCUUGACAUGUAUUUGAAAUCCUUGUGAAAGCAGGGACCUCCUUCGGGACAGAUACACAGGUGUUGCAUGGCUGUCGUCAGCUCGUGUCGUGAGAUGUUGGGUUAAGUCCCGCAACGAGCGCAACCCUCGUUCAUAGUUACCAUCAUUAAGUUGGGGACUCUAUGGAGACUGCCCCGGUUAACGGGGAGGAAGGUGAGGAUGACGUCAAGUCAUUAUGGCCCUUACGCCCUGGGCUACACACGUGCUACAAUGGCCGGUACAGUGAGAAGCAAUACCGUAAGGUGGAGCAAAUCUCUGAAAACCGGCCCCAGUUCAGAUUGAGGGCUGCAACUCGCCCUCAUGAAGUUGGAAUCGCUAGUAAUGGCGGAUCAGCUACGCCGCCGUGAAUACGUUCCCGGGCCUUGUACACACCGCCCGUCACACCACGAGAGUCGAUUGUACCCGAAGUCAUUUUAGCUAACCCUUUGGGGAGCGAAUGCCUAAGGUAUGAUUGGCGAUUAGGGUGAAGUCGUAACAAGGUA
rnacentral:rRNA from 1 species